CAGUAGCCGCGGUAACACGUAGGGUGCAAGCGUUAAUCGGAAUUACUGGGCGUAAAGCGUGCGCAGGCGGUUCUAUAAGACAGAUGUGAAAUCCCCGGGCUCAACCUGGGAACUGCAUUUGUGACUGUAGAGCUGGAGUGCGGCAGAGGGGGAUGGAAUUCCGCGUGUAGCAGUGAAAUGCGUAGAUAUGCGGAGGGACACCGAUGGCGAAGGCAAUCCCCUGGGCAUGCACUGACGCUCAUGCACGAAAGCGUGGGGAGCAAACAGGAUUAGAUACCCCAGUAGUCCCUGUCUCUUAUAC
rnacentral:rRNA from 1 species